rnacentral:rRNA from 1 species
UAAAGCAAGAAAGGGCGUAUGGGGAAUGCCUAGGCACACUCCGGCGAAGAAGGACGCAGCAAACAGCGAAAUGCGACGGUGAGCGGUAAGCACGUGAAGAGCCGUCGAUAUCCGAAUGGGGGAACCCACACGGAGUCAUAUCCGUGUAUCACAUGUCGAAUACAUAGACAUGAUGAGGCGAGACGCAGGGAACUGAAACAUCUAAGUACCUGCAGGAAGAGAAAAUAAGAAUGAUUUUCUGAGUAGCGGCGAGCGAAAGGGAAAGAGCCCAAACCGAUUUGAGGAUCGGGGUAGUAGGAUCAUCGAUAAAUCAAACAGAGGAUCAUAGAGGAAUCACAUGGGAAGGUGAGCGAGAGAGGGUGAGAGCCCCGUACUCGAAAUGAGAGACUGGAGAGAGAUGACACCUGAGUAGGGCGGGACACGAGAAAUCCUGUCUGAAUCAGCCGGGACCAUCCGGCAAGGCUAAAUACGAGAGAGUGACCGAUAGUGAACCAGUACCGUGAGGGAAAGGUGAAAAGAACCCCGGGAGGGGAGUGAAAGAGAACCUGAAACCAUAUGCCUACAAGAAGUCAGAGCCCGUUAAAGGGUGAUGGCGUGCCUUUUGUAGAAUGAACCGGCGAGUUACUGUAUGGAGCGAGGUUAAGCAGGAUAUGCGGAGCCGAAGCGAAAGCGAGUCUUAAGAGGGCGCGAGUUGCAUGCAGUAGACCCGAAACCGGGUGAUCUAGCCAUGACCAGGUUGAAGUUGGGGUAAAACCCGAUGGAGGACCGAACCGACCCCCGUUGAAACGUUGGCGGAUGAGUUGUGGCUAGGGGUGAAAUUCCAAUCGAACCCGGAGAUAGCUGGUUCUCCCCGAAAUAGCUUUAGGGCUAGCGUCGAGAGAAGAGUUGCGUGAAGGUAGAGCACUGAAUAUGUGAUGGCCCCAUCUCGGGGUACUGAGCAUAAUCAAACUGCGAAUGUCACGCCAACAUGCUCGGCAGUCAGACAGCGGGUGAUAAGGUCCGUUGUCAAGAGGGAAACAGCCCAGACCAUCAGCUAAGGUCCCAAAAUGUAUGCUAAGUGGAAAAGGAUGUGGAGAUGUACAGACAACUAGGAGGUUGGCUCAGAAGCAGCCAUCCUUUAAAGAGUGCGUAACAGCUCACUAGUCGAAUGACUCUGCGCCGAUAAUUUACCGGGGCUAAGCAUACUACCGAAGCUAUGGAUCCCAAGGGAUGGUAGGGGAGCGUUCCAUGAACGGAGAAGUACGACCGAAAGGACGUGUGGAGAUCAUGGAAGAGAGAAUGCCGGUGUGAGUAGCGGAACGUGGGUGAGAAUCCCACGCACCGAAAACCCAAGGUUUCCAGAGGAAGGUUCGUCCGCUCUGGGUAAGUCGGGACCUAAGGCGAGGCCGAAAGGCGUAGUCGAUGGACAACAGGUAGAGAUUCCUGUACCCGUAUAUAUGUGAAGGAAUGACGGAGAGAGGAAGCUGCAGCCAGCGGCUGGAAGAGCUGGUGCAAGCGAGAUAUCGGGAUGGCAGGCAAAUCCACCAUCCGAAACGAGAAGGCGUGAAGCGUACGGAAAGCUACGGCGAGUACGGAAGGCAGUGGAGGAACUUCCAAGAAAAGUUUCUAACGUUAAGUAUAUAUGGCCCGUACCGAAAAUGGACACACAUGGGUGAGGAGAGAAUCCUAAGGUGAGCGAGAGAACUAUAGCUAAGGAACUCUGCAAAAUGACUCCGUAACUUAGGGAGAAGGAGUGCUCAUAGAGAUAUGAGCCGCAGUGAAACGGCCCAAGCGACUGUUUACCAAAAACACAGCUCUCUGCUAAGCCGCAAGGCGAAGUAUAGGGGGUGACGCCUGCCCGGUGCUGGAAGGUUAAGGGGAGGGGUUAACGCAAGUGAAGCCCUGAACUGAAGCCCCAGUAAACGGCGGCCGUAACUAUAACGGUCCUAAGGUAGCGAAAUUCCUUGUCAGGUAAGUUCUGACCCGCACGAAAGGCGUAACGAUUUGGGCGCUGUCUCAGCUGUAGACUCGGUGAAGUCUUAGUACCUGUGAAGAUGCAGGUUACCCGCGACUAGACGGAAAGACCCCAUGGAGCUUCACUGCAGGUUGAUAUUGGGAUUUGAUGCAGCAUGUACAGGAUAGGUAGGAGGCAAAGAGAUGGAUACGCCAGUAUUCAAGGAGCCGCUGUUGGGAUACUACCCCUGUUGUAUUGGAUUUCUAACCGGACGACGUAGAGCCGUUGACGGGACAGUGUCAGUCGGGCAGUUUGACUGGGGCGGUCGCCUCCCAAAGAGUAACGGAGGCGCCCAAAGAUACCCUCAGCUUGGAUGGAAACCAAGCGCAGAGUGCAAAGGCAAAAGGGUGUUUGACUGCGAGACCCACAAGUCGAGCAGGGACGAAAGUCGGGCUUAGUGAUCCGGCGGUGCUGAAUGGAAAGGCCGUCGCUCAACGGAUAAAAGCUACCCUGGGGAUAACAGGCUGAUCUCCCCCAA